GACGAACGCUGGCGGCGUGCCUAAUACAUGCGAGUCGAACGCUGAAGAGAGGAGCUUCCUCUUCUUGGAUGAGUUGCGAACGGGUGAGUAACGCGUAGGUAACCUGCCUUGUAGCGGGGGAUAACUAUUGGAAACGAUAGCUAAUACCGCAUAACAAUGGAUGACACAUGUCAUUUAUUUGAAAGGGGCAAUUGCUCCACUACAAGAUGGACCUGCGUUGUAUUAGCUAGUAGGUGAGGUAAUGGCUCACCUAGGCGACGAUACAUAGCCGACCUGAGAGGGUGAUCGGCCACACUGGGACUGAGACACGGCCCAGACUCCUACGGGAGGCAGCAGUAGGGAAUCGUCGGCAAUGGGGGCAACCCUGACCGAGCAACGCCGCGUGAGUGAAGAAGGGUUUCGGAUCGUAAAGCUCUGUUGUAAGUCAAGAACGGGUGUGAGAGUGGAAAGUUCACACUGUGACGGUAGCUUACCAGAAAGGGACGGCUAACUACGUG
rnacentral:rRNA from 1 species